GGUCAGAUUUAUUACAUUGUUACCAUUGAGAGCAGACUCUUCAAAGACUAAAAUCACCUGAGUAUAUACGAAUACAAACAUACACUUUAACAUUUACACUUCUUUAAGCACACAGGAAAGAAAUAGACACAAGGAAAAUACAAGUAGCAUGGAACUAUAUUGUUGAGGUUUAUUUUGGGGUUAAGCCCAUUAAACCUCUCAGGGUUCAGCAAGAUUUGCUAUAGCAGGAGAAAACUGGCUAAUUAUGUCUGAGGGAAAAUACAUUACUUCACGUAGUCUUUUUUUUUAUCACGCCUCACUUAUUCUUCCUGUGUCCUCUCCAACGUUCUCUUGUUUCUUGCUCUUCUACCCACGCACACGUUUCCGGUUCAUAUACAGUUAACAAGCAUGGAACCGGCUGAAACUGGCAAGGAGGAGCCUGGCGGCUCAGAGAGGAUGUGGCUGUGAAGCUCCCCGGCAGAUGUCGGGAGGAUUAAUUACGAAUCCACAGAAAGUUCUAAGAAGUUUUUGUGCACUAACUGACUUUCUUAGGUGUAACGAUUAAGCGAGACGUUUAUGAGGAAUAAUCAUGGGAAACGCAGCAGCAGCACCGCUGUGCUCUCCGCGCAUUUCCGUUUCCAUCCCCGCAGAAGGGAACACAGCAUUGGUAACCAUAGCAACUCUCGGGCUCCGGAGGAAGGCGAGGUGCUUGAUUUGCAUCAGCAUGUAGCUGCCUGAAUUAAUAGGAAUCUCUAUGGAGACCGUGCUUCCAUCUCCAGCAGGGUGCCUGCCAGCAGCCAGAUUCAGAUCCAGAUCCAGAACUCUCAGCUGCCUCUUCAGCUCCAUGCCUGCCUGGACGCCACCAUGAAGAUAAUGGACUAAACCUCUGAACCGUAAGCCAGCCUCAACGACAUGUUUUCUUUCUAAGAGUAGCUGUGGUCAUGGUGUCUCCAUCCCCACUACACCAAUAAACGAAAAGAACUCUGAGCAUAAAACACAAGGAUUUUUAAAAAGCCAUUUAUUUAAAAAACUGGUUUGUCAAAUCCCAUCCACGAGCGGAAGAAACACAACUAUUGAUAUGGCCCUGUGAUACAGACAGCAGUGGGGCAUUCACACGGUACCUGAAAAUACAGCUAAAAAAGGGGUCAAAUGAGUAUUAAGCUUCAGGUUCCUACCUGACCCCUUGGUGAAUGGCUUUAAUUAGCAUACAGCGAGAGGUAGAGUCCCAAGUGUCUUAGCUGAUGCCUCAGGGCUCCGUUUAAACAAAA